GUUAAUAGUGUUACCAUUUAGGUUACCAAUAGGUGACCAUUUAGGGUUAUUGUCUAACUUCAUAUCUAAUCAUAAACCCUAAAGAUGAUUGUCUAGAGUUUCUGACUAGACCGAGCUAAACUCUGCAAGUUCCCUUGGAAGGAAAUAGACUAAUGAGCUUUUCACCUUUUUCUCGCCUUUAGUUUUUCUGGAAUUGUGAGUCCAGUUUAUGUAUAUAUUGAAACUAAAAUAAAUAGGAGCCAUCAGAUUGGGAGGUACAAGUCUUGUGCUGCUUGUCAGCAACCCAGGAUGGAAAAAAAAAUCAUAUGAACACAAAAAUUAUAUUCAAAGCAGGAAUGGGAAGAUCUGGUGUACGAUACCUUGAAGGACAUCAGGAAAUCUUAGUUCAGGGAGGAAGGAGAAAUUCCUUGGCAUGGAAACUUUCCAUUGUGAAAAUAUCUUAAUAUUCCUUUCUUGAUUCUGGAGGAGACACAGGGAAUUUGUGAUGAUCAGGCAAUCUAGAAUGCGGAAGUGUUCUAUGCUGGAACCAGAGAAUGAAAAGCACAAAGGCAUACAAAAUCUGCUACAGUCUGCUCAAUUUAUUUCUCUAACCUACGACUUCCCUCCACACACACACUGACCUUUUCACCAUAUCUUAAUCAACCUCGACAGUAGCCAGUGUUUUCACCCUAUUCCUCAAACACAGUUAUCAACCUGUGAUCAGCAAUGACCUCUGAGCCCUCACAGUCAGCACAGGGUCAAUCGCUUGGCUAAGAAGUCAUUCAGCUGGAGUACCAACUGCCAGCUUCCCGGACAGGACAUUGGGCCAAGUCUGGGAUCAGAUAAGCAUCAACCGCUCCUCGAUAACCCUGAGUUGGACACUCUUGGCUUCUGUCUACUGAUGUCCAGCUGCAGUGCUUUGACCCUGUGGGAACUACAUCAGGAUGGGCCAGACUCUGAAUGCAGUCACAGUGGUCCUCUAACUAGGACUGAAUACAUGUUCGAGGGCUCCUGGGUAACAAGGUAAGGUUGCCUGUUGCAAGGACAUUACUGUAGCUAAUGGCCAACAAGUCAUCAAAUGUAUCAGAAGACCCCAUCUGCCUCAGUCAUUCUGGUUACAAAGGAGAUAAAAAUUCCCAACUCAGCUUUAAAAAUGGUGCUGGGAAGAGAAAUUAAGAGAGAUUAGCAACCCAAGGAAAAAUAUAUCUAUGAUUUAAAACUCAGAAUUUAACACCUCAGAAUUCUUAGAUGUUUUCCCUUUACUGUGCAACCCGGAAAUUCAUCAGGGAAGUAAAUGCCUCAUCAUAGAUUUUGUAUUAGUAAUUGAGUAACUGAGGGACCACUAUAACAGGGAGCAGGCCUUAGUGGAGAAGAGAUCUGAAUCUCCUACUGCUUCACAGAUGAAACAUCCAUGCUCCCAGCUAAGAUCAAUCCCUCCUCUUGUGCACUAGAUAUCAUUGCCUUUGCCUCCUCACAGAUAUCAGUCCUGCAAUUUUCCUCCCUUUCUCUCUUUCAUUAGUAACUUUUUGUUUCCUCUUGGAUCAUUUUCAUUAGCAUUAGCAUAUAAACAGGCUGUUUCUCCCCAACCCCUUCUACUUCCCUAUCUUAAAAAAAAAGAAUCACUUCUCUUGACCCCAUUGUCUCCAACCAAUUUCCACUCAAUUUCUUGCUCCCAUUUGCAGAAAAAUGUCUCAAAAUAGUGCCCUAUAACCAUGGUCUCCACUUUCUUCCUGUUCUUUUCUAAAUCCAUUGCAAUCUGGCAUUGACUCCCACCACUCCACGACAGCUGCUUUUAUCAAAGGUUGCCAAUGACCACUGAGGGCUAGAGUCAAUGGCCAGCUCUCCAUCCUUCAUCCUACUUGUCUUAGCAUGAGCCUCUGACAAAGUGGACCACUCUCUUUUUGGAUACACUUUCUUUACUAGGCUUCUAGGACAUCACAUUCUUGGCUUUCUUCCUAUCUCACUGGUCACAUCUUCUGAGUCUCCUUUGCUGGUCCCUCCUCACCUCCCUCAGUUCUUCAUGUUGG
rnacentral:lncRNA from 1 species